rnacentral:lncRNA from 1 species
UGAGCUGCCUGUGAGCUGCCUGUGAGCUGCCUGUGAGCUGCCUGUGAGCUGCCUGUGAGCUGCCUGUGCCUUUCACCCCUGUGACCUCACCUCUGUGUUAACUCCACAGGCAGCGACAACAACUACCACCAGUGGCUAUUCACUGUCAAGGCCCGUCCAUCCAGGCUACUGGUGGCCAAGAGACCUCGCAGCAACGUGGGCCUGGAGAGCAGCCCUGAACAGUAAGACCACCUAGCUACAUAAUACACACACUGAAAACACUAAUCAUCAUCAUCACUGAGCUCAACUUAAGCUACAGUCUCACCAACUCCUAUACUAGAGCUCACCAACUAUAACACACUGUUUUAGUUUGCAUUAGUACAGGGUUCCCCGACUCCAUUCCUGGAUAUAUACUGGGUGUGCAGGCUUUUGCUCAAAUCCUUGCCGUAAUCUAAAAUAUAUACAGUACCAGUCAAAAGUUUGGAAACACCUACUCAUUCAAGGGUUUUUCUUUGUUUUUACUAUUUUCUACAUUGUAGAAUAAUAGUGAAGACAUCAACACUAUGAAAUAACACAUAUGGGAUCAUGUAGUAACCAAAACAGUGUUAAAUAAAUCAAAAUAUAUUUUAGGUUGUCAAAGUAGCCACCCUUUGCCUUGAUGACAGCUUUGCACACUCUUGGCAUUCUCUCAACAAGCUUCUUGAGUUAGACAUCUGGAAUGCAUUUCAAUUAAAAGGUGUGCCUUGUUGAAAGUUCAUUUGUGGAAUUUCUUUCCUUCCUCUCUGAACUACUGAUCCCGUAUCCGGGAGCGUGACUACACCCUCAGGCUCAUUACCAUAACGCAACGUUAACGAUUUCUCAAAAUCGCAAAUGAAAUUAAAUAAAUAUGCCUGCUCUCAAGCUUAGCCUUUUCUUAACAACACUGUCAUCUCAGAUUUUCAAAAUAUGCUUUUGAACCAUAGCAAAUCAAUCAUUUGUGUAAGAGUGAUAAUGGCUGCCGUAGCAU